rnacentral:tRNA from 1 species
AGAACAUAGUAUAAUUAAAUACAUUUCAUUUACACUGAAAAUAUGCUAAAGCUAUUAGCUGCUCUA